rnacentral:rRNA from 1 species
GACGAACGCUUGCGGCGUGCCUAAGAAAUGCAAGUCGAGCGGGGAGCAAUCCCAGCGGCGAACGGUCGCGUAACACGUAAGCAACCUGCCCGAAAGACCGGGAUAACGUUCCGAAAGGGGCGCUAAUACCGGAUGUGACCGCGAGGAGACAUCUCCUUGUGAUUAAAUCAUUUAUGGCUUUCGGAGGGGCUUGCGGCCUAUCAGCUAGAUGGCGAGGUAACGGCUCACCAUGGCGUCGACGGGUAGCUGGUCUGAGAGGAUGGUCAGCCG